UGUUUUGGGUAGAGAGAAGCUCUCUUUUCUCUCUAAACACAAUCAUUCUCCGUCCGUCUUCGUCAUCGCAGGCCGUCGUCCUAGCCGCUGUUGACCACCAAAAUUUCGGGUUUUGUUCAUCUCAUCACGGUAGUUAUGGAUCGGGGCUCUGUUUCGUCAGGGGAUGCUCCGAUCGUCGUGAAAUGACCAAAGACCAUUCGAUUUUCUCGGGCCCUAAUCUCUGUCGUCUGUCGAUCGUCGUGAUUUCAAGGUCUGUUGUCCUCCACCCUUCUUCUCUCGUUUCACCGUUCGAAUCUGUGAACGAUGGUCCUCACCGCCGGUGAAAGCUUCGGCCGAAUGGUUUUGUUGGUAAGUUUGAAUCUUCAUCCCUUAGCGAAGGGCUAGCGUGGACUGACAUUUGACCAAGGUGUGCUUUAAGCGAAGUGUCCCAUGCAAGUAGUAGGUCCUUAUGUGUUUAAUCAUAGUGGACAGAAUCCUUCACCAUGGCCUAGUUUUCCAUAGAGAUAACAAAAUAGCUUUAGUUUUUUCAUACUGGAAUGUUGCGUAUGUAAACUGCCCAUUAGCUAACGCCAACUUUUUCCUUCUUUUUAAUGGAAGUCGUACAUCAAGACGAA